rnacentral:rRNA from 1 species
UACGGAGGGUGCAAGCGUUAUCCGGAUUCACUGGGUUUAAAGGGUGCGUAGGAGGGCAGGUAAGUCAGUGGUGAAAUCUCCAAGCUUAACUUGGAAACUGCCGUUGAUACUAUCUGUCUUGAAUACCGUGGAGGUGAGCGGAAUAUGUCAUGUAGCGGUGAAAUGCUUAGAUAUGACAUAGAACACCAAUUGCGAAGGCAGCCCCCUGGGCUAACACUGACGCUCAUGCACGAAAGCGUGGGGAGCAAACAGG